rnacentral:rRNA from 1 species
AAAUGAAUAGACGGGGACCCGCACAAGCAGCGGAGCAUGUGGUUUAAUUCGAAGCAACGCGAAGAACCUUACCAGGGCUUGACAUCCCUCUGACCGUCCCUUAAUCGGGGCCUCCCUUCGGGGCAGAGGUGACAGGUGGUGCAUGGUUGUCGUCAGCUCGUGUCGUGAGAUGUUGGGUUAAGUCCCGCAACGAGCGCAACCCUUGUCAUUAGUUGCCAGCAUUUCGGAUGGGCACUCUAGUGAGACUGCCGGGGAUAACUCGGAGGAAGGUGGGGAUGACGUCAAAUCAUCAUGCCCCUUAUGUCCUGGGCUACACACGUGCUACAAUGGCCGGCACAGAGAGAAGCGAUCCCGUGAGGUAGAGCAAAUCUCCAAAACCGGUCCCAGUUCGGAUUGCAGGCUGCAACUCGCCUGCAUGAAGUCGGAGUUGCUAGUAAUCGCGAAUCAGAAUGUCGCGGUGAAUGCGUUCCCGGGUCUUGUACACACCGCCCGU